GACGUAGGGUGCGAGCGUUGUCCGGAUUUAUUGGGCGUAAAGAGCUCGUAGGCGGCUCGUCGCGUCAGCUGUGAAAACCCGCGGCUUAACCGUGGGCUUGCAGCUGAUACGGGCGGGCUAGAGUUCGGUAGGGGAGACUGGAAUUCCUGGUGUAGCGGUGAAAUGCGCAGAUAUCAGGAGGAACACCGGUGGCGAAGGCGGGCCUCUGGGCCGAUACUGACGCUGAGGAGCGAAAGCGUGGGGAGCGAACAGG
rnacentral:rRNA from 1 species